rnacentral:rRNA from 1 species
UACGGGGGGGGCAAGCGUUGUUCGGAAUUACUGGGCGUAAAGGGUUUGUAGGUGGCCCGCUAAGUCACACGUGAAAUCCCUCAGCUUAACUGGGGAACUGCGUGUGAGACUGGCAGGCUCGAGGGCAGGAGAGGAACGCGGAAUUCCAGGUGUAGCGGUGAAAUGCGUAGAUAUCUGGAGGAACACCGGUGGCGAAGGCGGCGUUCUGGACUGUCUCUGACACCGAAGAACGAAAGCCAGGGGAGCAAACGGG